GACGAACGCUGGCGGCGUGCUUAACACAUGCAAGUCGAACGGAAAGGCCCUGCUUUCGGGGUGUGCUCGAGUGGAGCACGGGUGAGUAACACGUGAGUAACCUGCCCUUGACUUUGGGAUAACUUCAGGAAACUGGGGCUAAUACCGGAUAGGAGCUCCUGCUGCAUGGUGUGGGUUGGAAAGUUUCGGCGGUUGGGGAUGGACUCGCGGCUUAUCAGCUUGUUGGUGGGGUACUGGCUUACCAAGGCUUUGACGGGUAGCCGGCCUGAGUGGGUGACCGGCAACAUGGGGACUGGGAUACGGCCCAGACUCCUACGGGAGGCAGCAGUGGGGAAUAUGGCAAAAGGGGCGGAAGCCGGAGGCAGCAACGCCGCGGGCGGGAGGACGGCCUUCGGGUUGUAAACCGCUUUCGCCGGUGACGAAGCGUGAGUGACGGUAAUGGGUAAAGAAGCACCGGCUAACUACGUG
rnacentral:rRNA from 1 species